rnacentral:lncRNA from 1 species
GUUACAUAGAAAAAAAAUACAGUACUUUCAUGAUGUACAUUUGCAUAUUUUCUCAGUGCUUACUGUGUGUGUUAAAGAUGGAUUAAAACAGUGAUUAGACAUUAAGUCAACGUUGUCUAAACUACGCGAUUUAAAAAAUAUAUUUUUAUUUGAUAUACCAAAGAGGAUAAUGUUGUGUAACGUUCAAACCAUCCCCAUAGACGAACUAAAGAUCAAUUGUCUUCCGCCUGACACAAAACAUGCUUGUUGAUCGUGAUUUUUGAUUUAUCCAAAACAAAAAUAUAAGUAAUAAUGUGUCCACAGUUUAGAUAAAUAAAAAUACAUUUCUUGAAUAAUACAAAUGAUCGGUUGGUCGUUUACCUAACCUUCCCCUUUCUACAGAAACGGGGAAACUUUCAGAUGCCUAACUAACAUUAUAAUUAGAACAUUUCUGAUUUUCAUAUCAACGGGAUAUUCGUUGACUUAUGCCAAUUUUCGGUGUUUUUGUAAUUAGAUAUUGUAUAUGGUCGUGGGUUCAAAUGUUAUGUUGCGUUCCAGAAACAGGAAAUGUAGCCAAGUAACUUAUUUUAGGCGGAACCUUUGAUAAAUAAGACUGAAAAUACGGAAUGUUUAGAAGAACGGCCCCAAAAAAAGUCAUGUUUUAUUUGUAAUUUUCGUAGUCCCUUUAUCUUUGUUUGGAUAAAAUGCAUUUACGAUCAGCAGAAUUCAGCAAAGUCACGUAAACAAUUGUUUCAAUUUGUUAUGUAGAAACAAGCAAUUCAACUCAUCUGAAACAAGCGAUUUGUCUGGCGAUGUUCGAGCACUCUUUAACUGCCUAUCCAGAUGAUGAAUGCAUGUUCUUUGUACCAACAAUUUUAAGACUCGAGGAACUAAAUGCCUCUUCAUUUGUGUAUCUCAAGGCUUGUGGAAGAACAGGAAGGUUCAUUUGCAUUUCAACGCAACAUUUUACAACAAAUAGACAAUAGCUGUGAAGGGUAUGUGACGAUUAAAACUGAUCAUGUGUUUUAGUGUUAUUUGCAUGCCUUGUUAUUGGAGGUGUGGUUGUGAAGCCGAACAUUAUUGUUCGACGUUCGCCUUUGCAACCAGAGGAAAUGUCAAAAUGUAUGUCACGCUUGACUUUUAUCCACAUUGUGCCUCCAUGCAUACUAACCUAAUAACCAUGUAUUAAUGCUUUGGACCAAAGUCCAAAACAUGACAACAUGGAACAUAUAACCAUAAUCAUCAUAAUGAUGUAGGAGUGCAGACUACUUCAAACCCACAAUACUCCACAUGUUCCCCAGCCCUCUGCAUCCAGCCCCCAUCCCUGUGACACAGCAACCCUAAGGCCUGACCCCCAUAGCACGGGCAGGCAUUUGAUUUGUGUCCUGAUCCAUCAGCCCCUCCACAGGAACAACUGUCCAGCCCCAUUGUGAAGAACCAAGGGGAACCUCUUUUCACCCUCUACCCAAUCAGCUCUGCCCCCCAUCCUCAUUUCAAAAUGUGCAAGACAUCAGGUCAUUGCUGUCUGUCCAGUGUCUACCCUUUCUUUCUCGACACAACCGCCCUCUUGCUCUCUCUCUCAUAUGGUUCCCCGGGGUUGAGCUGUGGUUGUUUUUUAAC